CCUCCGGGAGGCAGCAGUGGGGAAUCUUGCACAAUGGGCGCAAGCCUGAUGCAGCCAUGCCGCGUGUAUGAAGAAGGCCUUCGGGUUGUAAAGUACUUUCAGUCGUGAGGAAGGUGUUAAGGUUAAUAACCUUAGCCAUUGCCGUUAGCGACAGAAGAAGCACCGCCUCACUCCCUUCCACCAGCCGCCGUAUUACGUACGGUGCGAGCGUUACUCGGAAUUACUGGGCGUAAAGGGCACGCAGGCGGUUAAUUAAGUUGGAUGUGAAAUCCCCGGGCUUAACCUGGGAAUGGCAUUCAAGACUGGUUAGCUAGAGUCUUGUAGAGGGGGGUAGAAUUCCAUGUGUAGCGGUGAAAUGCGUAGAGAUGUGGAGGAAUACCGGUGGCGAAGGCGGCCCCCUGGACAAAGACUGACGCUCAUGUGCGAAAGCGUGGGGAGCAAACAGGAUUAGAUACCCCUGUAGUA
rnacentral:rRNA from 1 species